UCCCAGACUCCUACGGGAGGCAGCAGUGGGGGAUAUUGCACAAUGGGGGAAACCCUGAUGCAGCGACGCCGCGUGGGUGAAGGAGCACCUCGGUGCGUAAAGCCCUAUCGGCAGGGAAGAAACAGACGGUACCUGACUAAGAAGCCCCGGCUAACUACGUGCCAGCAGCCGCGGUAAUACGUAGGGGGCAAGCGUUAUCCGGAUUUACUGGGUGUAAAGGGGGCGCAGACGGCAGCGCAAGCCAGGAGUGAAAGCCCGGGGCCCAACCCCGGGACUGCUCUUGGAACUGCGCGGCUGGAGUGCAGGAGGGGCAGGCGGAAUUCCUGGUGUAGCGGUGAAAUGCGUAGAUAUCAGGAGGAACACCGGUGGCGAAGGCGGCCUGCUGGACUGCGACUGACGUUGAGGCCCGAAAGCGUGGGGAGCAAACAGGAUUAGAUACCCCGGUAAG
rnacentral:rRNA from 1 species